rnacentral:rRNA from 1 species
GAUGAACGCUGGCGGCGUGCUUAACACAUGCAAGUCGAACGGAAAGGCCACAGCUGGCUGUGGUACUCGAGCGGCGAACGGGUGAGUAACACGUGGGUGAUCUGCCCUGUACUUCGGGAUAAGCGUGGGAAACUGGGACUAAUACCGGAUAGGAAUCACAUGUGGGUGUGUGGUUGGAAAGCUUUUGCGGUAUGGGAUGAGCUCGCGGCCUAUCAGCUUGUUGGUGGGGUAAUGGCCUACCAAGGCGUCGACGGGUAGCCGGCCUGAGAGGGUGUACGGCCACAUUGGGACUGAGAUACGGCCCAGACUCCUACGGGAGGCAGCAGUGGGGAAUAUUGCACAAUGGGCGCAAGCCUGAUGCAGCGACGCCGCGUGGGGGAUGACGGCCUUCGGGUUGUAAACUCCUUUCGUCAGGGACGAAGCGAAAGUGACGGUACCUGGAUAAGAAGCACCGGCUAACUACGUG